CUCGGGGAUGCAGGCAGAAACCUCCCCCAUCUGUUCUGGAGUGAUCUGUGCAAUCUGCAAGCACAACCCUGCAGGAGACGAUGGAUGUCCCAGCAUGCUGCAGUUACUUCUCUUCGAUUACAUGGAUGGGGCAGAAACACUAGAGGAGUUUCUAUUCUCUUUUGUGCAGCCGGUGAAUUCUCCGUGGGGAUCUCCAUCUAUCUGGCAGGUCACAUUACAGCCCUGCUGUUGUAACUGAUCCGUCCAUAGGUUUCUACAGAAGAAGUGCUAUUGAUGAAUUACUGCACAUGGCGCUGAGAGUUAUGUUGCAGAGUUGUUACUUUUCAACUAGAGAGCUUUCCUGGGAACUUUCCAUGAUCUGUUGGACAGCUAAGGAGUUUUGGACAAUAUAUAUAGAGUAUACGGCUGCCAUAACUCAUUGUG
rnacentral:lncRNA from 1 species